GACGUAGGGCGCGAGCGUUGUCCGGAUUUAUUGGGCGUAAAGAGCUCGUAGGCGGCUUGUCGCGUCUGCUGUGAAAACCUAAGGCUCAACCUUGGGCUUGCAGUGGGUACGGGCAGACUAGAGUGCGGUAGGGGUGACUGGAAUUCCUGGUGUAGCGGUGGAAUGCGCAGAUAUCAGGAGGAACACCGAUGGCGAAGGCAGGUCACUGGGCCGCAACUGACGCUGAGGCGCGAAAGCGUGGGGAGCGAACAGG
rnacentral:rRNA from 1 species